rnacentral:rRNA from 2 species
GGACUACCCGGGUAUCUAAUCCUGUUUGCUCCCCACGCUUUCGCGCCUCAGCGUCAGUAUUUGUCCAGGUAGCCGCCUUCGCCACUGGUGUUCCUUCCGAUCUCUACGCAUUUCACCGCUACACCGGAAAUUCCACUACCCUCUACAAUACUCUAGCUCGCCAGUAUGACAUGCAGUUCCUAGGUUAAGCCCAGGGAUUUCACAUAUCACUUAACAAACCGCCUACGCGCCCUUUACGCCCAGUAACUCCGAUUAACGCUCGCACCCUCUGUAUUACCGCGGCGGCUGGCAC